rnacentral:lncRNA from 1 species
CCAGUGUCACAGAAUGAUGCUUAUAUUCCGAGCCAUCUAAUUCUAUAAAUAGAGGAUUCCUCGAAGCGUAGGAAACGUUAUAUUAUUUAUUGUUGCUGCACUAUAACAAUUGCGUAAUAUCAACUCAUCAACCUCCUCUGAAAAAGCACCUUCAAAUUUCUUGGAAAUUUUCAGCUAUACUGGGGCCUUGGAUAGUGAGCCGAAGCGAUCUUUCAAGUGAACAUCUUCCACAAAGAUGAUAGCAAUCUCCAUUGUCUCAUUGCUGAAAGCUUAUAAACGGGGGCAGAGUUCUUCCAGCCCGGGAAAUCCGAACGCCAACAACUUUAGGCCUCUUAAUUUCGACCAGAUCAGCCGCUAGGUCAGUUUUUUUCGCCGAUCAUCGAUUCAACUUUACUGAGAAGACGGCUUUACGCUCUCGACGCUAAUUGGAACGCAUGCAGUUGUCGAGAAAAAGAAAUCCCCGCUCCCCAAUCACAUAGAAAUUGGUGAUUAUCUAUCUCCAUACUGCGACUACACUUCCAGGUACAGGAUUUCGUUAAGAAAGCAAAAAAUAUUUGCCUGGUGCUGCAACAAAUCCUCUCGGAGAGAGACAGAGGUAGAGACAGCGAGCGAGAGAGAGAGAGAGAGAGAGUGACAGAGAGACGCUUACCUGAGAAUGCCGGAACUCUCGGGGGUGUUCAGGAAGGAGAGAGAGAGAGAGAGUAGGGCUAAGUUUACAAAGGGAGGGUGAAG